GCAACAGGAAAUAUUAGUUACAUUCCCACGAACCCAGUCUCUGUUUUUGUCCUUUUUUUCUUUCUUUCUUAAUCCAUGCGCGUUGUGGAGGACAGACAGAAUGCACGAAGUUCAGAUCUAAGCUCUAAUACCAAUUUCAUAGAGAAGGUUCAGUAACGCUGUUUUUGCUGAGUACUAUAUAACAUUAACAUCGUCGUGGUCAUAACAUAAACAAUUGAAUGAUGUCGCGGAGACCUGUGAAUCUGUCUCGGCGAUUUGGAGACAGCGGAGGUGGAUUGUUUUCAUCGUCGAAAUCAAAGACUUCGCCAGCUUUGUCGGUUGGGCUCAUAAUUUUGGGAGGCUUGUUUCUCAUUGGCUAUGUUUACAAGGGCUCAGGUGGAUUUGGCAGCCGUUUGGAGUCUUUCAGCAGGCUUCAAGGUACCU